UAAGAUGACGGGCCGCACAAGCGGAGGAACAUGUGGUUUAAUUCGAUGAUACGCGAGGAACCUUUACCUGGGCUUAAAUGUAGAGUGCAUUUUCUAGAGAUAGGAAUUCCCUUCGGGGCUUUCUGCAAGGUGCUGCAUGGUUGUCGUCAGCUCGUGCCGUGAGGUGUCGGGUUAAGUCCCAUAACGAGCGCAACCCUUAUCGUUAGUUGCCAUCUGGUAAAGCAGGGGACUCUAGCGAAACUGCCACCGUAAGGUGAGAGGAAGGUGGGGAUGACGUCAAAUCAGCACGGCCCUUAUGUCCAGGGCUACACACGUGUUACAAUGGCCGGUACAGAGGGCAGCUACCUGGUGACAGGAUGCUAAUCUCGAAAACCGGUCUCAGUUCGGAUCGAAGUCUGCAACUCGACUUCGUGAAGCUGGAUUCGCUAGUAAUCGCGCAUCAGCCAUGGCGCGGUGAAUACGUUCCCGGGCCUU
rnacentral:rRNA from 1 species